rnacentral:rRNA from 1 species
GACGAACCGUGCAAACGUUGUUCGGAAUCACUGGGCUUAAAGGGCGCGUAGGCGGGCAAGCAAGUCGAAGGUGAAAUCCCACGGCUCAACCGUGGAAGUGCCCCCGAUACUGCUUGUCUUGAGGGAGAUAGGGGCGUGCGGAACUUCCGGUGGAGCGGUGAAAUGCGUAGAUAUCGGAAGGAACACCGGUGGCGAAAGCGGCGCGCUGGAUCUCUUCUGACGCUGAGGCGCGAAAGCCAGGGGAGCAAACAGG